rnacentral:ncRNA from 1 species
AUCAGGCCGCCCCGCGCGGCCAGGCUGGCGCGCCCUAUGCGGGCGGCGAAUCCGGUCCGACGCCCGUCGAUAACCUGGCGUCACG